rnacentral:rRNA from 1 species
GAGCUUGCUCCUUGAUUCAGCGGCGGACGGGUGAGUAAUACCUAGGAAUCUGCCUGAUAGUGGGGGACAACGUUUCGAAAGGAACGCUAAUACCGCAUACGUCCUACGGGAGAAAGCAGGGGACCUUCGGGCCUUGCGCUAUCAGAUGAGCCUAGGUCGGAUUAGCUAGUUGGUGAGGUAAUGGCUCACCAAGGCGACGAUCCGUAACUGGUCUGAGAGGAUGAUCAGUCACACUGGAACUGAGACACGGUCCAGACUCCUACGGGAGGCAGCAGUGGGGAAUAUUGGACAAUGGGCGAAAGCCUGAUCCAGCCAUGCCGCGUGUGUGAAGAAGGUCUUCGGAUUGUAAAGCACUUUAAGUUGGGAGGAAGGGCAGUAAGCUAAUACCUUGCUGUUUUGACGUUACCGACAGAAUAAGCACCGGCUAACUAUGUGCCAGCAGCCGCGGUAAUACAGAGGGUGCAAGCGUUAAUCGGAAUUACUGGGCGUAAAGCGCGCGUAGGUGGUUCGUUAAGUUGGAUGUGAAAUCCCCGGGCUCAACCUGGGAACUGCAUC